rnacentral:rRNA from 1 species
UACGAAGGGGGCUAGCGUUGUUCGGAAUUACUGGGCGUAAAGGGCGCGUAGGCGGUACUUCAAGUCAGGCGUGAAAGCCCCGGGCUCAACCUGGGAACCGCGCUUGAGACUGGAGAACUAGAGUUCGGGAGAGGAUGGUGGAAUUCCCAGUGUAGAGGUGAAAUUCGUAGAUAUCUGGAGGAACACCGGUGGCGAAGGCGGCAUCCUGGACCGGUAUUGACGCUGAGGCGCGAAAGCCAGGGGAGC